rnacentral:rRNA from 1 species
CUACGGGCCGCUCCAGUGGGGAAUAUUGGACAAUGGGGGAACCCUGAUCCAGCAAUGCCGCGUGUGUGAAGAAGGCCUGCGGGUUGUAAAGCACUUUCGGUUGGGAGGACUGCUUCUAGCACUAAUAUUGUUGGAAGUUGACGUUACCUUCAGAAGAAGCACCGGCUAACUCCGUGCCAGCAGCCGGCGGUAAUACGGAGGGUGCAAGCGUUAAUCGGAAUUACUGGGCGUAAAGCGCGCGUAGGCGGCUAGAUCAGUCGGGUGUGAAAGCCCCGGGCUUAACCUGGGAACUGCAUCCGAUACUGUCUAGCUUGAGUACAGGAGAGGAGAGUGGAAUUCCACAUGUAGCGGUGAAAUGCGUAGAUAUGUGGAGGAACACCAAUGGCGAAGGCAGCUCUCUGGCCUGAUACUGACGCUGAGGUGCGAAAGCGUGGGGAGCAAACAGGAUUAGAUACCCUUGUAGUC